rnacentral:lncRNA from 1 species
GCGAUGCCCGUGGAGUUGUGACUAGACUACUACUGGGUAGCUGCUGAAUUGCUGGUAACUUGGUAAACAUCGUAUGGAUGUAUUCAAUCCUGGAUAUAUCACAAGGAUGGUGGCCUGUUACCCUCGGAUAUAGGUGUCUUCAGAAAUGGUGGACUCCCUAUUUCCUUUCUUGUUAGUACCUGCUGACGACAUGAUUAAACAUUUUGAUCCACCCUAUUUCCUUUCAUGUUAGUACUACCUGUAGACGACAUGAUUAAACAUUUUGUUCCACAUGAUAAAGG